AGCGAACGUUAGCGGCGCGCCUAACACAUGCAAGUCGCACGAGAAAGGGAGCAAUCCCCGGUACAGUGGCGCACGGGUGAGUAACACGUAGAUGACCUUCCCUGGAGUGGUGGAUAACCUGCCGAAAGGCGGGCUAAUACAGCAUGGGACCACAUGGUUUUGACCGAGUGGUGAAAGCGGGCCUCUGUUCACAAGCUCGCGCUCUGGGAUGGGUCUGCGUCCCAUCAGCUAGUUGGUGAGGUAAUGGCUCACCAAGGCAUCGACGGGUAGCUGGUCUGAGAGGAUGACCAGCCACACUGGAACUGAGACACGGUCCAGACUCCUACGGGAGGCAGCAGUGGGGAAUCUUGCGCAAUGGGCGAAAGCCUGACGCAGCGACGCCGCGUGGGUGAUGAAGGCCUCGGUGUAAGCCUGUGGGAGGACGAACGUACGGGGCGGAACGA
rnacentral:rRNA from 1 species